rnacentral:snRNA from 1 species
GUGCUGAGCAGCACAUGUAAAACUGCAGUGAUUCAGAGAAGAUUGAUAAGGUCUCUGUGCAAGGAUGAUGCCCAGACUCAUAUGGAGUAUCCCACACUCUU